AUGGCUUUUGAGGAUCUCUUCGACGUGCCUCCUUCUCCGGCCGUCCACUCCUCCUCUCCGGCGUCCUCCCCCGGGAUCUCUCUCUCUGCUCUGUCCGCCACCCAACCAGCUGCUUCCUCCGCCACUACUGCUGCCCUUUCUUCCUCUGCUGCCCCGGCCACCGCUGCUGCACCCACUGGCCCCUCUCCUCUCAACAUCCACAUGGAUCACAUCUCAAACUACAUCAAAUUCAAACUCGACCCUGCUGAAAACAACUUCGGCAAGUGGCGCAGCUUUUUCCGCCUCGUUCUCGUCCAAUACCGCGUGCAGGACCAUGUGGAUCGUCCCCCACCUGCUCAUCCCGACGAGGCAUGGCUCGCGGUUGAUCACCGCCUCACCAACUGGAUCUUCUUCACCCUCGCCGACUCUCUCAUGGAGCUCAUCAUGGGCGGCGCUGAGAAUGCGUACACGGCAUGGCAGCGGAUCAACGAUUACUUCCUUGCCAACCAGGGUGCCCAGGUUCUGCAUCUCACUCGUCAAUACCGCAACCUCAAGCAGGCUGAUCUUUCAAUCGCCGAAUAUGCUCGCCGCCUCAAAACCUUGGCAGAUGGCCUGGCGAACGUUGGGUCUGAGGUCUCCGACAAGGACCUAACCAUGCAGCUGCUCCACGGCCUCGCCCCUCGCUUCGACACUCUGUGGAUCGUGCUUGGCGACACCAACCCCCUGCCGCCCUUCACGGUCGCCAGAUCAUACCUGGAUUUGGCGGAGCUCAACCUCUCCCUGCGUGCUGCUGACGAAGGGAUCUCCGCCCUCACUCUCACCACCAACGGCUCCGGCGCCCGGCGGCGCUGGCGGCUCUGGCGGUCCUGGCGCGGAUCGCGGCGGUGA
rnacentral:rRNA from 1 species